rnacentral:rRNA from 1 species
AUUGAACGCUGGCGGCAUGCCUUACACAUGCAAGUCGAACGGCAGCACGGGUGCUUGCACCUGGUGGCGAGUGGCGAACGGGUGAGUAAUACAUCGGAACAUGUCCUGUAGUGGGGGAUAGCCCGGCGAAAGCCGGAUUAAUACCGCAUACGAUCUACGGAUGAAAGCGGGGGACCUUCGGGCCUCGCGCUAUAGGGUUGGCCGAUGGCUGAUUAGCUAGUUGGUGGGGUAAAGGCCUACCAAGGCGACAAUCAGUAGCUGGUCUGAGGGGACGACCAGCCACACUGGGACUGAGACACGGCCCAGACUCCUACGGGAGGCAGCAGUGGGGAAUUUUGGACAAUGGGCGAAAGCCUGAUCCAGCAAUGCCGCGUGUGUGAAGAAGGCCUUCGGGUUGUAAAGCACUUUUGUCCGGAAAGAAAUCCUUGGUCCUAAUACGGUCGGGGGAUGACGGUACCGGAAGAAUAAGCACCGGCUAACUACGUG